UUUGUUAGGAACCUACUUAAUUUAGGUGAAAAUUUCCCAAGAACAGCUACCUAAAUAGACAGGUGAAUUGAAUCUACCACUUCAACAAUCCCCCUGGGUGGCUGCUUAUAUUCUCGAAACUGUCCACUAACUAAUAGAUAAUUGCAAUCCCACCUCUGUUGCCCAUAUCUCUAUCUCUAUUCAAAUAGGCAGAUAAUGUGUUUGCUUAUGGUCUAUCCAAGUGUCCCAAGAGAUGCACCACAAGCCAUAACCGCUGGAGUAGCCAACCACAAGUUGCCCUGUAAAUAAUUUUUUAUUGUAAUUUGUCCAGGCUGUGAUUCAUAUCUAUGUCUUCACAUGCAUGGUUGCUUAAGUUGUUUGAAAACAAACAACACAAUGCUCAACACCUGUAACCACCGAUUGACCAACCAAUUGGAGGCCACAAUCUUGAAGGUCUCUGUUUCGGUGAUGACUUUAAAAACAUCGACGUUAAAAUACCAAGAUGAACGGAGGUUUGAUCUGCCUCAAUUUCUGCAAACGGUGGUCCUUCUUUGGGGGUGUUUCAUCUUCCUUUGCAAGAGCUCCUCCUAUUUUCGACAGGCAAUGCAGCCAGUCAGUUCACACACUACAGAAGAUGAUGCAACAUUAACAAAGCACAUAGGCGAAAGUUGUUUGUUUUCUGCAGUAGGGGUACACUUUGUAGGAGAUGAUUGCUUGUUAUGUUGCCUAUAAUUAAUUAAGAAUUGCCUAACAAUAGAGGACAAAACUAUAACAAAUAAAAAGUCCCUCAAUGCAAUUUUGAGUACACUAAACAUGUUCUUGUAUUUUAUCAACAAUUAAUUAUAUGUGUAUCUUUGUCUA